rnacentral:rRNA from 1 species
AUUGAACGCUGGCGGCAUGCUUUACACAUGCAAGUCGAACGGUAACAGGGAGCUUGCUCCGCUGACGAGUGGCGAACGGGUGAGUAAUAUAUCGGAACGUACCCAGAAGUGGGGGAUAACGUAGCGAAAGUUACGCUAAUACCGCAUACGAUCUACGGAUGAAAGUAGGGGACCUUCGGGCCUUAUGCUUUUGGAGCGGCCGAUAUCUGAUUAGCUAGUUGGUGAGGUAAAGGCUCACCAAGGCGACGAUCAGUAGCUGGUCUGAGAGGACGACCAGCCACACUGGAACUGAGACACGGUCCAGACUCCUACGGGAGGCAGCAGUGGGGAAUUUUGGACAAUGGGCGCAAGCCUGAUCCAGCAAUGCCGCGUGAGUGAAGAAGGCCUUCGGGUUGUAAAGCUCUUUUGUCAGGGAGGAAACGGUAGAGGCUAAUAUCCUUUGCUAAUGACGGUACCUGAAGAAUAAGCACCGGCUAACUACGUGCCAGCCGCCGCGGUAAUAC